rnacentral:lncRNA from 13 species
UGUGUUAACACAACUAAAACCCACAUGUUUCUGCAAACACACACACACAAGCAACGAGCUGCACACACAGCCCUUGUAGGAACACACACGCAUAUGUAAAAUCACGUGUACAGAGGUCCACACAGCAAUGUGGACCCUCCUGCGCACACACUUACACGCAGAAUCUCUUCAGAUAACCACACGUAUGUGAUGUACACCGUCUGCCCCUCUAGGGCUGCUCAUAUGUGCAAGUGUGUGCGGCAUCCUCACGCAUCACGAGGCUAACGUAGGCUGUGCAGGUAGGACGCGUGAACACGUGUCCAGGUGGGCCUCGUGCUCUCCCACACCAGAAUUCCUGGCGUGGACGUCCCCAGAACACUCUCCUCGUGUUGCGUAAGUCGGGCACCAUGGAGACUUGUUCUCCUGAAAGCCGCCCUUUCCACCCCUGCCCCGGGCCCCGCGUCCAGGCUGCCCGUGCCUCAAGCAGUCCUAGCCUCUGGGGCGCCCGGCUCCCGCCCGCACGGGCCGCAGGCUCUAGGGAACCUCCGCCAGCAGGUGGCGCCGGCAGGAGCCUCGCGCAGACCAGACGGGCAGAAGUAGGACGCAUCCGCGUCUCAGCGCGGAAAUGCGGCCGUGCCGGCGGGCUCCUAACCCCCCUUACUGUGCCGGGACCGAGCCCCGGAAUGAUCUACCAAGAUCACCAGACCGAAGAAAGCCACUCCCGAGAGAAGACAGAAAGGACAAGACCCCGCCCUUCCUUCCCGGAAGGAAACGGGAAGCGGAAGAUCAGGGACGGGAAUGUGGAGGGGCGCAAGGAGCCCCUUCUGCAGGGUCCGCCGAGGGCCCGGGUGUGUGUGCUGGAGAUCUGUGUGCACCUGGGGCAGGGUCCGCAUGAGCAGAGCCAUUGUGCCUUGGCCUUCUGGAUGACUCACUUGGGGAGAAGUCAUUGCUGUGCCAUGAGGACACACCAGCAGCCCUGGGGAGCUGAGGACUCCUGCCAAGCGCCAGCAUCAACUGCCAGCCACAGUUUCUUUCCUCUCUUGCUGGCUGUUAAUGUGCAGGGAGAGCAAGCCAGUGAAUAGAUGCUCUGUUGCUGGUUUGUGCAGCCCAGAAGGAAGAGACUGGACUGGAUGGUCUGUCCUGGCUCCUUCCGCAUCACCAGGAGUGGAGCUGCCGAAGAGAGAGCUGGGAGACAUUUUGUCUUUUCUGCACUUCAGGAUUUCUGAGACCGGGGAGGCAGGGAGCAAACCAGAAAGAGGAUGUUUGCCAGCCACAGAGGUGGAGGGAGGCGUCACCCUAGCCUAAUACCUUGCCCUCGGUGGACAGUUGAACACUAGUGGUAACUGCAGGGACCAAAGGGCCUUAGGCGGGAAACACCGCAGACGCCUACAACCUCCUGGUGUGUUCUUUGCGGAGCUCGGAACCGGCUCUUCUCCAUCCUGGGAGAGCGCUUCACAAGGUCCACAUCAACCUGAAGCACGGAAGAAUGCUCAGAAGUUGGAGGAAACUCCACCCUACUGGUUCAAUUUUCCUGUCAUGCAGAGAGAAAGAAGCAUCACCUUUAAAGGAAAGAGUAUAGUAAAAGAUGACUUGGAUCCUUUGAAAAAUGUCUGCUAUGUUACUGUUGUUACCUUAGAAGACAAAAUACAAUCACACCUUCUUCACUUUGAGAUUUGCUAAAAUGGGAGCAGGUGCGAAAUGAACAGAGCGGGGCAUCUGUGAGCCCCUUCAGAGUGACUAUCUCUGUUAUUUAUAUCUGAGCUCAAACGUACUCCAAGUUAACAGUCCCACCUUUAUCAUAGAAAUAACAAAGACGGAAGAGUAGUAAAUGUCUAUUUAGAAAAUAAAAACUGAGCAUUUGAAUCGGGAGAAAUGCCC